GAUGAACGCUGGCGGCGUGCCUAAUACAUGCAAGUCGAGCGAACGGACGAGAAGCUUGCUUCUCUGAUGUUAGCGGCGGACGGGUGAGUAACACGUGGAUAACCUACCUAUAAGACUGGGAUAACUUCGGGAAACCGGAGCUAAUACCGGAUGAUAUUUUGAACCGCAUGGUUCAAAAGUGAAAGACGGUCUUGCUGGCACUUAUAGAUGGAUCCGCGCUGCAUUAGCUAGUUGGUAAGGUAACGGCUUACCAAGGCAAGGAUGCAUAGCCGAGCUGAGAGAGUGAUCGGCCACACUGGAACUGAGACACGGUCCAGACUCCUACGGGAGGCAGCAGUAGGGAAUCUUACGCAAAGGGCGAAAGCCUGACGGAGCAACGCCGCGUGAGUGAUGACGGUCUUCGGAUCGUAAAACUCUGUUAUUAGGGAAGAACAUCUGUGUAAGGAACUGUGCACAUCGUGACGGUACCUAAUCAGAAAGCCACGGCUAACUACGUG
rnacentral:rRNA from 1 species